rnacentral:rRNA from 1 species
GUAGGGAAUAUUGGACAAUGGGGGGAACCCUGAUCCAGCCAUGUCGCGUGGAGGAAGACUGCCCUCUGGGUUGUAAACUCCUUUUAUAUGGGAAGAACCGUCCUCAUUAAUGAGUGACCUGACGGUACCAUAGGAAUAAGCACCGGCUAACUCCGUGCCAGCAGCCGCGGUAAUACGGAGGGUGCAAGCGUUAUCCGGAUUCACUGGGUUUAAUGGGUGCGUAGGCGGAUAAAUAAGUCAGUGGUGAAAUCAACGGGCUCAACCUGUUAACUGCCAUUGAUACUGUGUAUCUUGAAUAUGAGAGAGGUAGGCGGAAUGUUGCAUGUAGCGGUGAAAUGCUUAGAUAUGCUACGGAACACCGAUUGCGAAGGCAGCUUACUAUUUCGUAAUUGACGCUGAGGCACGAAAGCGUGGGUAGCGAACAGGAUUAGAAACCCCAGUAGUCC